rnacentral:lncRNA from 10 species
CGCCGCGCGGCUCCAGCUGGGGCGCGGUGGUCCCGACGGUCACCCGAAUCGCAGGGAGUCGCCGCUGGAGAGGGGCUCGGCGCCCGGCGGGGACUGCAGAGGAUGUGCUUCUGAUGAUGGGCACACAACAGAUGCUCAGCAAGUAUGUUCCCUGUUUGAGAAAUCACCACAAUGCAUCAUUCUGCAUGAAGACACAUGCAUGCAUAUGUUCAUUGCAGCACUAUUCACACAGCAAAGACAUGGAAUCAACCUAAAUGCCCAUCAACAGUAGACUGGAUAAAGGAAAUGUGGUACAUAUACACCAUGGAAUAUUAUGUAGCCAUGAAAAAGAACAAGAUCAUGUCUUUUGCAGAAAUGUGGAUGGAGCUAUUAUUCUCAGCAUAAUAGAUAACAUAAUAGAAUAACAGGAUGUCUGUUAUUCUUAGCAAACUAAUGCAGGAACAGAAGACAAAAUACAUGCUCUCACUUAUAAGUGGGAACUAAAUGAUGAGAACUCAUGGACACAAAGAAAGGACCAACAGACACUGGGGCUUACUUGAGAGCAGAGGGUGGGAAGAGGGAGAAGAUCAGAAAAAAAUAACUAUUGGGUACUAAGCUUAGUACCUGGGUGACGAAGUAAUCUGUCCAAUAAACCCCCGUGACACGAGUUUACCAUAACAAAACUGCACAUGUACCCCCGCACCUAAAAUAAAAGUUAAAAAAAAAAAGGAGUAUAUUCCCUAGGGUACAGCAGACAAUGUUUCAGAAUUAUUGUCAAUUUGCCAGGUGUGGUCAGGUUGGAAGGUUGGAGAAUGUUUCUUUUAUUUAUUUUUUCUUUUUUUAGAUGGAGUCUUGCUCUGUCACUCAGGCUGGAGUGCAGUGGCACAAUCUCGGCUCACUGCAACCUCUGCCUCCUGGGUUCCAGCGAUUCUCCUGCCUCAGCCUCCUGAACAGCUGGGACUGCAGGUGCGCGCCACCACACCCAGCUAAUUUUUGUACUUUUUAGUAGAGACGGGGUUUCACCCAUAUUGGCCAGGCUGGUCUCGAACUCCUGACCUGAUGAUGCAUCCGCCUCGGCCUCCCAAAGUGCUGGGAUUACAGGCAUGAGCCACCGCGCCCAGCCAAGAAUGUCUCUUUUCUUGAGAGAUGUGUGCUCAAGUAUUAGAUUGAACCCCACGAAAUUGCUAAUAUCUUCUCAUGUUUAAUAUGAUUCAAUCAAGGCCAGGCAUGGUGGCUCACACCUAUAAUCUCAGCACUUUGGGAGGCCAAGGCAAGGCAGGA